GUGGGGCAUGGCUGCUCGCGCGUGCCUGUGUGGGUCUGUGUAUGUUUGCAUGUGUAUGUUGGGAGCAUGAAGGGGCAUGUGUGUCCCGGUGUGUCCUCCGCACAUUCCUGAGUCCUGUUUCAGGUCUGGAGGACUGGCUGAGGUGUCCUCUUGUCUCGGCCAGCCCAUGGGGUCUCCAUCCGCUGCUGCUCCGGUUCUCCGGGGCUGGGCUGGAAAGGCCUCACCGCCCCUCUUCCCCCUCCAGGGUGGCCCUGUGGAGAUCUUGCCCUACCUGUUCCUGGGCAGCUGCAGCCAUUCGUCAGACCUGCAGGGGCUGCAGGCCUGUGGCAUCACAGCCGUCCUCAACGUGUCCACAAGCUGCCCCAACCACUUUGAGGGUCUUUUCCGCUACAAGAGUAUCCCUGUGGAGGACAACCAGAUGGUGGAGAUCAGCGCCUGGUUCCAGGAGGCCAUAGGCUUCAUUGACUGGGUGAAGAACAGCGGAGGCCGGGUGCUGGUGCACUGCCAGGCGGGCAUCUCGCGCUCUGCCACCAUCUGUCUGGCAUACCUCAUGCAGAGUCGCCGUGUGCGGCUGGACGAGGCCUUUGACUUCGUUAAGCAGCGCCGGGGGGUCAUCUCCCCCAAUUUCAGUUUCAUGGGGCAGCUGCUGCAGUUUGAGACCCAGGUGCUGUGUCACUGAGGUGGUGCCCCUCUGCCUGCCUGCCCCACUGUGCUGGCAGGAGCUGACUGUGGACUGGUGGGCUCCCCUCUGGGCCAGCACAGUCCCCUCACCU
rnacentral:sRNA from 1 species